UUGUUCGUCCCAGCGGUGAGUCUGACAGCAAUCCCAAGGAAAACCCGCAUUUCUGGCUCGCACGGCGAUCUCGCACCAUUGCUACGCGCUCUUCCACAUCAGCUGGGGUCUGGUCUCUCUCCCUGUGCAAGGCACUUCUCCCCCUUACACCGGGCUCUGGAGACUUGGGCACUGCUGGGUGUGUGGAAAACAGCGCCAGGUUACAAACCAACCUCUCAAUAAUAACGCAACCUGAGAGCAGGGGAUCCUCCCUCCCCCCACAGACACGCGGGUGUCCCAACAUUUUAGCUGAUUUGGAGCAAAGAAAACCUCCUGCGAGUGAUGGAGUCUGCCCCAGUAAAUACUGCAGGGGGCUCUGGGUGUUUUUGCUGCCUACAGAAGAGACGCCCCGUGUUUCCUUCCUCUGAACUCCACUGUGCAAAUCAAGCCCCUCUCCCUGCGCAGGGCAGCCCGGUGGUUUUUAACAUUUUCUCACCGCGCUGCCCCAGUUUCUAACUCGACCCUUUGCAAACGAGCCCCCAAUUCUCGUGCUCGUUCCGGUUAGCGCGUGAGGAGUUACUCCGCGAGACAGAAGCAGGCACAUGCGGACGCCAAGCUGCCCAGAAGUCGGUGCAUAUCCGCAGAUGCCUUAAACACCGCUCCCCAGCCAGGCACCGUGUGCCGUGCACCAGCUUCUACUUCCAGCGGGCACCUUAUCCCAGGCCGGGGCCAUCAGCCUGCAGCCAGGGCUCGGCACAACUCGAACGUGGGAUAUCCACUUUUCCAUCUGAAACUUUCCCUGCCUUUGCCAGAGCCCCCGUCCCCCCGUGCGAAGGCUGGGGAACGUGGGGAUCUCUCCGAUGUGAGGAGCUGCUUUGAAAUCUCGUCCCCGGCGUUUACAGAUAGUAACGUUUGCAAAGAGGUUCCUAUUUUAACACCGCUUUCAACCUGUUUCCCUUUGUUAACGCUGGCCGGUGAGCUGCCCCCACUGCCCGGGGCUUUGGGGAAGAACCGGCUAUUUGAAAUGUGGAUUUACAAGUCCUACGCACAUUUCUGUAGAUGCCUGAGAGAUGCCUUGGAUGGAAAGUGCUUAAAACCUGUGAGGACCGAUUUGGGAAAGAAAAGGUUGGAUGCGCAAAUUAAAACAAACAGACGAAGCGUGUUUUUAAAGCGUCGCUUAAUCUGGUUGCCCUAGAGUUCAUUUUAGUAGCAAGGAGAGACAAUGCUCCAUUAUGGGGAUGGGGGGGGGACGUGUUAGUUUCACCCUGGCUCGCCAAGUUCACAGGCUCUGGCACGGCGAGAUUUGUAGGCACGAGGAGCUGUUCCACCUCUAGCAAACGUUUGCCAGUGGUCCCGGAUCCAGUCUGCCAGCUGUGAUGUGUACACCCCGAAGUCAGGUUCUAAACUUCAAUCCGGUAACCAAAAAAUCGCCAUCGGUUCAAAAAUUGCUGUUUUUUUGGAGGGGGGGGCUGUUAAAAGAAAGGAGUCAGUGUAUAACAGCAGGAGAGGGCAUGGAGAUUGUUUUGUUUUGCAAAUCUUAUCUAGGCUGUAGCUAGAGGUAUCCACACCCCACAACAACACAAGGAAAUGAGCGGAGGGAGCGCUCCCUUCUCCAAGUGGUUUAUUUUCUGUCUCCUUGGAGCUUAGAAAUAUGAACUAGCAACCGUCAAAGGAAAACAUCCCACCGCUGAAUUUCCGGGGGCUAAGGUGACUGUUCUCCGCAGGCUCAGAAGUCGAUCCACGGGACACACCAUUAUCCCUCUAAAAAGCGCCUGCACCUGAUUUCCCAGGACCCCCGGUCCCAUAACCAGGGGCUUCUUGGCACGGCAAGAAGAGACUGAAAGGCGCAGCACCUGAGCUCAGACCUGUCUUCGAACAGCUCCACCCCCGGCGGGCUGAAAGGCAGGUCCACCCCCCCCCCCCCACGCCGGCCGAACUGUUCCUCGAGCGGGUUUGAUUUCUGAGCCUUGCCUUAAAGCUGCCCUGGGAACCUGAUCAGCGCCUAUCGAUCGGAGCGGAGACUAAUCAAGGCUGGGACAUUCUUCCAAGACAGCCGGGCUUAGACCCCGUCGGGGGGGAGGGUGGUUAUUUACUGGUUGGUUUGUUUUAAAUUGACCAUCGGGGGUGACUGAUUAAUCACGUACUAGUAUUUGAAGUCUCCACUAUUUUGAAUUUUUCCUCUAGAAGAUCAGACUUGCAGCCUCGCCUUGACCCAACCCCCCCCCCGCAAAAAAAAUCAUUAAAAUAGGAAUGCAGCUAACCUAUCCUGCUCCGCCACGUCACGACGUCAUGCUUUACGUAGUAAAAUAUGGAGAAAGGGGGAGGGGGGCAUUUUCUCUCCUCCCUUUGCCUCCCAUCUCCAUUUCCAAAAUGGACAAAAUGGAUGUUUGGUAACAUUUCUCUAACGGUGCCUGUGCGCGGAGCACUCACUUGCCUCCCCCAGGUCAAACUAGGCCUCUGCGAGACUCCUCCAAAGGUCCCCAUUUCCCUGCCAGAGGUAUUGGGGCGGGGGGGUGGCAAGCAGACGUAUCUAUUUAACCCCACGUAAAGACAACGUGACCAGCAAGACUCCGCUUCCAAUGCCUCUUUGCAGCCCUCUCCUGAGGCGAGAGCUGCUGCUGGAUUUGUUCUUCCCCGGGUGGAUUUAUUUGGUUUUUCUUGCUUCCUUCGCAGGCAUCGUUUUGAGCUUCCUUUCUCUACCCUAAACCCUGGGAGGCUGGUUUUUCCCUCUCUCCCUUUCUCUCGGCUGAAGCUUUCAUAGCUUUGACGGUAGUUGAUGUGUGUGGUACCUAAAUCAUUGAGGAUGCAGAUGUGGGGCGUGUAGGAGGUAAAUACCCCCCACACACACACUCCCCUUUCAUCUUGUCUUUCUGGGUUGUUGUUUUUUCUCUCUCCUCUUCUCCUGCUCAUCAAUUCACUCGCUGACUGAUGCACCGUGAGAAUUGCUGGACCGCCUGCCUUUGCGGGCAGCCUGAAAGUUACAGACACUCCUGGAGGGGGAGGCGGGGGAAGCGAGCCCUCCGCUCCCAGAGACCCCUUCCUCAUUGAGCACCACCGCCACAAGUUUUGAACUUGGAAUAAAAGGGCCGGAAGAACAACCCGAGCCCCAGCCCAGCCCAGGCACCGUUCAGAGCUGUUCAUCUCCGCUUAGCAAGUUGUCUUCUAAAUUACAGGGACCCUGCGAGGCUGGUGCUCGCGGCAGCGUCUCUGCCUGCACUGGUGGUGGGGGGGUUCGGAUUAAACUGGGGCUUCCCAUGUGAUUUCCCCACCCAGCCCCCAUCGAACUCAGUGUUGGGGGGGGCGGGGGCGGACACCAAAGGCGUGAACACAAAUCCUGCCUGCAGAUCAGGCCGAGCUCGGAACAAUGGAGCCCAAUUCAUUGUGGACAAUGACCGCUGGGUCUGCUACUUGGAGUGCUGGACACGUUCGCCACCGCUCGGGCUGCUCUGGGGGACCGACAACAGCGGAGUCUGGGCAGAGACGCUCCCUCCUCGCCUCUCGCUGGAGCUGUGAGAAAAUGCGUGGAAGGACAAGCAGAGCCGGGAGCUCCCAGCCGUUCCCAGGGGCCGGCUGAGACCCGCUGAUCCCCAGGAGGAGCAGCAGAAGUCGAAGCCUUUUGCAGAAGAGGAAGAAAACCAAACCACGGCCACCUCCGAUGGCUGCAGUUCUGCACCAGUCCCAGCCAGGGAAGAGGGAUGGAAAGAAGCAUGCCUAGUUCAGGGGAGAAAUAAAGAACAUUGGAACACGCAGGCUUUGAACUUAGCAUAGCCGAGAGGGUUCUGUUCUCUCAGCUGGAAUGCGACCUACAACACGGCACGUAAGAACGGCCUAGAUGCGUGUGUGCCUGCAACGCACGGUCAAGAUGCAAACUUUCCACAGGCAUCGAUGGGGACAGGAGAAAACAAACUCAAUCUGGCCCAGGAUCUGCAUAGAGACAGCGAGGACUCAACAGAGACAGGUUACACCUCCCCAGGCCUAGGGUGGGCUGGACUUUUCCUGCCUACGAGGAAUUGCCUGGUCAGGAAGAGAUUAAUGUCAUUGUCUUCUACCUGCAAUGCUUUGAGUGGCUCUCGAUGACUGGCUGGCUUGGCUGUAUAACUCCAAGGCAAGGAUGAAAGUCUGGGGGAUCCAGGGAGGGAAGGAGCUACCUUACUGCCCACAUGGACGCUAGAGGCCCCUGGCUGUCUUGCAGAAGGAAAUUCUGCCAUCCCGCUGGCCUGACCCUAUCCCAGAGGCUCCGCCAACCGAUUCCAUCCACGUCCGGGGGUCAGGCAGCCCUGGAAGGCGACUCACUUAGCGACGGAGAUUCAUGCUGCGCAUCUCACGCCACCACAACUGGGCUUCUCCGGGGGCGAAGUGGCUUGAUCAGAAGAUGUGAUGUUGGAUGAGCACAAAAGCCACAAGAACGGCCCGGUAUUUGUGAGAGGUUCCAUUUGAAGAUUUGUUUCCUUUCCGAAAUAAAAACAGUGACUAGCGUGUGGAAAGCGUUGAUGGGAGGGGAGGGUCAUUCUUUUUGUAAAUGGCCAAAAAACAAACAAACAAACAAACAAACAAACAAACAAACAAACGGUUGGCCAGCUGCAUUCUCAGUAGUAAGACAAGCGGUGCAUCUCCCUCUGAGCAGAAGCACCAAGGUAAACAGAGUCAAAUCCAGUGGGGGGGUUGCAUUCUGCCUCCUAAAAUUCCCCCUGUGGUUUCCACUGGAUACGGGAUUAGUCUUCACUUCCUGUUCUAUGGGGUUGUAUAGUUGUCAUGAACCCCACUUGGGCCACUGGUGGGAUUUCAACCCAUAAACAGUGUUAAUGCUUAAUCUCAAAGACUAAAUCCAACAGCUGGAAGCCGGGGCAGACUGAGUCUUGUAUGUGGACUAGUCACUAGAAGGUGAUAAAAGCCCCACACCUACAAGCACGGGUUACAUUGCAUUGCGGCGUGCUGUUACACAGAUACUGUGUCCCACCCCGAAGGCAUGUCUAAUUUGGGUAUCAGUUUGUAACGCGACUUGGGACCCUAUGGAAUGAAAGACACUAUUGGCUGUGUAAAUUCUUAGGUGAGAUGUGUAUUAAAAAUAUGAAUUUGA